rnacentral:rRNA from 1 species
GACGAACGCUGGCGGCGUGCUUAACACAUGCAAGUCGAACGCAAAGGCCCUGCUUUUGUGGGGUGCUCGAGUGGCGAACGGGUGAGUAACACGUGAGUAACCUGCCCUUGACUUUGGGAUAACUUCAGGAAACUGGGGCUAAUACCGGAUAGGAGCUCCUGCUGCAUGGUGGGGGUUGGAAAGUUUCGGCGGUUGGGGAUGGACUCGCGGCUUAUCAGCUUGUUGGUGGGGUAGUGGCUUACCAAGGCUUUGACGGGUAGCCGGCCUGAGAGGGUGACCGGCCACAUUGGGACUGAGAUACGGCCCAGACUCCUACGGGAGGCAGCAGGGGGGAAUAUGGCACAAUGGGCGGAAGCCUGAUGCAGCAACGCCGCGUGCGGGAUGACGGCCUUCGGGUUGUAAACCGCUUUCGCCUGUGACGAAGCGUGAGUGACGGUAAUGGGUAAAGAAGCACCGGCUAACUACGUG